rnacentral:lncRNA from 1 species
GGGUCCUCACGAGGCCUAGGCUCGGGGCUCGGGGUGCGUUCUCGGUGCCCGCUCUUGGGAUUGCGGAGCAGAAGAGGGGAGGCUUCUACCUCAGGCCUGCGGGUCUCAGGGAAGUCCGGCCGCGAGAACCUACCUGAGCUCACGUCCUCGCACUGUCUCGGGUGCAUCUGGCCUCGGCCCCCGCAUCGCGGCCACCCAAAGACUCCCACAAACCUUAGGUGCUCCGGCCGCUCGCCUGGCGCUCCCCCUGGCCAUGUUCAGCCUCCCUUCUUAAAGAGCGCCGCUCCACCAUUCCCCGGACUGGGCAAGGCCUCACUCAGCCAUGCAGAGACUAGUGGGGAAAGGGGCUGGGCCAGAAAAGAUGUUUUGAGUCUCUCCAGGUGUCUUUGAGUCAGCACAGGGAGUGCAUCCAACUUGGUAUUUAUCCAAAGUUAAAAGGUGAGGGUGGACACUGUCAGAGCGAUUAAUCACCUUAAUUAAUUAAUUAAUCUGCUCCGACAACGCCUUCACCCAUCUCCGUUAUUGGGGGGCGGAGGGGAGCAGUUAAAACACUUGUAUGUUUAUGUCUUUAAAAGAAAUUCUCUUUAAGAAUGUUGGUUGGAGUCUGCAUUUUUUAAAAGAACUCAUCCUGGCAGAACAUUGGCCCAUGCCUUAAUUUCAGCCCUGGGAAAGCAGAGGCAGGUGGAUCUCCAUGAGUUCAAGUCUAGUUUGAUCUACAUAGGACAGCCAGGACUUUGUAGAGAGACCCUGUCUCAAAAAGAAAGAACUCAGCGUGCCUCCAGGAUUCCAUAUCUAAAAGGUGUAUUCACCGGAUUUUAAAAAUUGUUUUUCUCCUCUUUGAAAAUAAUGGCAGUAUGAGCUCAUUUUACGUUUAAUGUGUUAACAGUUGUGAAGGAGAAAGGGAAGAAGAAGCUGCGUCUGCCGAGACAUUGACUAGAACUGCAUUAUAGUGGGAAGCUUGGAUUGCUGCAGGUCCAUCCAGAGGCUAAUUACCUUAUCUAGGCUAGAUCUAGCACUGCAGAACACUAGCUAUUUGUCCAACUCUAUGUGUGAACUAACGUCUUGUGACUAGAAGAUUAAAAACUUUUUGGAAUCUAUUGACUAAACAGGCCACUAGCUUCCACCAACCAAAAGCUAAGAAUGCAAUAAGAUAACACCCUGAGACUAUAGUAACACUUCCCUCAUCUUGCUGUACCUGUCUCUCUGGCGUGCUUUAAUAAACUAUAACAAUGGAUUUUACACUUACCUUGAUUUCUUGUUCUGUGAAACUUCACAGAACUGCUUCCAGUUGGAACAUGGAAUUUGGGGUAGUUAAAAUUGUUCCUGGCCUAUAGCCACUAAAAAUGGCUCCAGAAUAAUGUCUUCUUAUUCUGUCUAAGAGGAAAGCUGUGGUUUUUUGCAAUGUGAUGUAUAAGACUAUGCUUUUUCUAAUAUUUAUACCACUAUCCCUUUAUACAUCUUUUCCCAUUAGGUCUUUGUUUUAAUUUGUAGGGAAUUUUUUCAUUUAUAUUGUUUUUUCAAUGGUUGCAGAACAAAAACACCAGAUUUCAAAUUUACAUUGGUUUGUAUUUAAUGUAUUUUGAACAAUUAUUUUUGGUCUCUCGUGUACCGGGUGUGAGGGGCAGAAAUGAGUACAUGAGUGCAGAUACAUACAGAAACCACAGAGGUUAUGGGGCAGAAAUGAGUGUGUGAGUGCAGAUACAUACAGAAACCACAGAGGUUAUAGAAGAAUCCUGGAACAGAAGUUAGAGGCAGUUGGGAGCUCCCCAGUCUCUGUUCCUGGAACCCAACUCUGGCUUUCUGCAAAGCAAUUAUGUUCUUAAUAGUUGAGCUCUCUCUCCAGCCCCUAAUGGUUUGAAUGUGUCAGAGCUGUAAGAAAACAAAUUCCUAGUGUUUAAGCUUUCUGAUCUGUAGUCUGGCAGUACAGCAGCCUGAGCCAAGAUAGUGUAUUUUCCCAUUUUCUACAAACAAGUUUUUUAAUCAUUCAAAACAAACAGUUGCAUUUUAUAUCAUCUGGGCAAACCUAGUAAUGAUCAUGCUAUAAAAGCCAAUAAUUUGGUCAUAUAAUACUC